rnacentral:rRNA from 1 species
CAGUAGCCACGGGAAUACGAAGGGGGCUAGCGUUGCUCGGAAUGGCUGGGCGUAAAGGGCGCGUAGGCGGAUGGUACAGUCAGAUGUGAAAUUCCUGGGCUUAACCUGGGGGCUGCAUUUGAUACGUAUUGUCUAGAGUGAGGAAGAGGGUCGUGAAAUUCCCAGUGUAGAGGUGAAAUUCGUAGAUAUUGGGAAGAACACCGGUGGCGAAGGCGGCGACCUGGUCCUUGACUGACGCUGAGGCGCGAAAGCGUGGGGAGCAAACAGGAUUAGAUACCCGGGUAGUCCCUGUCUCUUAUAC